UACAGAGGGGGCAAGCGUUGUUCGGAAUUACUGGGCGUAAAGGGCGCGUAGGCGGCCUGCUAAGUCGAACGUGAAAUCCCCGAGCUCAACUCGGGAACUGCGUCCGAUACUGACAGGCUUGAAUCCGGGAGAGGGAUGCGGAAUUCCAGGUGUAGCGGUGAAAUGCGUAGAUAUCUGGAGGAACACCGGUGGCGAAGGCGACAUCCUGGACCGGCAUUGACGCUGAGGCGCGAAAGCCAGGGGAGCAAAGCGGG
rnacentral:rRNA from 1 species